rnacentral:lncRNA from 1 species
ACAAAUGAACAUUCCAAGACCCACACCACAUGUGUCAGAAGAGUUACCACUAACGAAUAAUUAUCAAGGCUCGCCAGUGGUAAGAACUUACCACUAGUAAUUUUUCAAGUUAUUAGUGACGGCCAAUAUGUGUAUGUUUCCCAGAGACGGAGACUAUUUAAUUUUUGUAGUAGCUGAAGAACUUGGAGUUUAUUUUUCUAUAAUACAAUUAAGAAAAACACCGAGAGAAAAGUUGAAGUAGAGGAAAUGUAGUAUUGAAAAUCCUGGAAGAUGUUUUAUUCAUCAUAGCAUGCAUGGGAAAUAAUACAACUAUUUAGAACGCGGGCGGAGGAGUACAAUGUCUUGGAUCACGACUCGCACAGGAGGUACCAGCAUCGGCUGGUGAUGCUAUAGGAGAGUUCUUCGGAGUCACCGAGUAGCGCACCCAUGCUUGACUGGUUUCUCCUAUUGGAGUAGCUACCACUGCUCGGUCCUAGUGCAGGACCGAGGAGAUCAUCAUCAAACUAAGAACCAUCACUACUGCCACAACUUUUGACAUUGUCCUUCACAAUAAUAUAGUGAACAAACUAUCAAGAACUAGAUUGAUGUAACAGACUACUGUUUGUUGCUACGAUAACAAGAUGACACAUAUAUACUAAUCAAUUGGACCUAUUUAGGGAUAACAUCAAUGUAUAUCUAAAUAUUUUAUUUUUGAUAAGGAAUAUCAAUACAUAUUAAAUUUAUUUAUACUGGCAAUCCAACACAAUUAGUAUUAAAAUUAUGACGUGGGAGCUGGCAUGCAAAAAUUAGUAGGUUAUGCCCGUAUAGUAUAUAUUGAACGCCACAAUUAAUUAUUACCUAUAUUUUAUUUCUAUUAUAUGGCUCAUAAUCAAUUUGGUAGCCACAUUUCCUAAAUUGAAUCCAAUUCAGACUGAUUAGGUAGGAUUUGCUAUGUACUGCCAUAUAGUGGCUAAUCACUAAAAAGUAAGAAACUAAUCUUCUAGCUUACUAAAGAUUUUUUCCUUUCUAGCCCGUGUAAUAUUGCUUUUAUUAAAAUACUACAGAUGAAGAUUCUCAUUGAUACGUCUCUGUCGUAUCUACUUUUCCAAACACUUUUGCCCUUGUUUUGGACUCUAACUUGCAUGAUUUGAAUGGAACUAACCCGGGCUGACGCUAUUUUCAGCAGAACUGCCAUGGUGUUAUUUUUGUGCAGAAAUAAAAGUUCUCAGAAUGUCCUGAAAAUCCACGGAGCAACUUUUUGGAUUUAAUAAAAAAUAUUGGCAAAAGAAUAAACGUCAGGGGGCCCACACCCUGUCCACGAGGGUGGGGGCGCGCCCCCUGCCUCAUGGGCCCCCUGAAGCUCCACCGACCUCAACUCCAACUCCAUAUAUUCACAUUCAGAGAGAAACAAAUCAGAGAGAAAGAUUCAACAUGUUUUACGAUACGGAUCCGCCGCCAAGGCCUAAGCUCUCUCGGGAGGGCUGAUCUGGAGUCCCUUCGGUGCUCUGGAGAGGGGGAUUCGUCGCCGUCGUCAUCAUCAACCAUCCUCCAUCACGAAUUUCAUGAUGCUCGCCGCCGUGCAUGAGUAAUUCCAUCGUAGGCUUGAUGGACGGUGAUGGGUUGGAUGAGAUUUACCAUGUAACCAAGUUAGUUUUGUUAGGGUUUGAUCCCUAGUAUCCACUAUGUUCUGAGAUUGAUGUUGCUAUGACUUUGCUAUGCUUAAUGCUUGUCACUAGGGCCCGAGUGCCAUGAUUUCAGAUCUGAACCUAUUAUGUUUUCAUGAAUAUAUGUGAGUUCUUCAUCCUAUCUUGCAAGUCUAUAGUAACCUAUUAUGUGUUAUGAUCCGUUAACCCCGAAGUGACAAUAAUCGGGAUACUUACGGGUGAUGACCGUAGUUUGAGGAGUUCAUGUAUUCACUAUGUGUUAAUGCUUUGGUCCGGCACUCUAUUAAAAGGAGGCCUUAAUAUCCCUUAGUUUCCAAUAGGACCCCGCUACCACGGGAGGGUAGGACAAAAGAUGUCAUGCGAGUUCUUUUCCGUAAGCACGUAUGACUAUAUUCAGAAUACAUGCCUAUAUUACAUUGAUGAACUGGAGCUACUUCUGUGUCACCCUAUGUUAUAACUAUUACAUGAGUAAUCACAUCCGACAUAAUUAUCCAUCAUUGAUCCAAUGCCUAUGAGCUUUCCACAUAUUUUUCUUUGCUUAGUUACUUUACCGUUGCCACUGUUACAAUUACUACAAAACUGCUACUGUUACUUUUGCCACGGUUACUGUUACUUCCAUACUGCUUUGCUACUAAAUAAUUUGCUGUAGAUAUUAAGUUAUCCUGGUGUGGUUGAAUUGACAAAUCAACUGCUAAUACUUGAGAAUAUUCUUUGGCUGCCCUUGUGUCGAAUCAAUAAAUUUGGGUUGAAUAUCGUACCCUCAAAAACUAUUGCAAUCCCUGCUACAUCCAUUUUGCAUCAUGCUUUUAUAUCUAUAUUUAUUGCAUUAUGGGCUGUUAUUACACGUUAUGUCACAAUACUUAUGGCUAUUCUCUCUUACUUUACAAGGUUUAUCAUGAAGAUGGAGAAUGCCGGUAGCUGGGAUUCAGGCUGGAAAAGGAGAAAAUAUUGGAAAUCUACUCUGAACAGCUCCAAAAAUCCUGAAACUCCCCAGAAGUAAUUUUGGGAAUUAAUAAGAAUUAUUGAGCAAUGAAAGUACUAGAGGGGGGCCACACCCUGGCUAGGAGGGUGGGGGCGCACCCCCCUACUGGGCGCGCCCCUAUCUCCUGGGCCCCCUGUUGGCCCUCCGGUGCCCAUCUUCUGCUAUAUGAAGUCUCUUACCCUGGAAAAAAUCAUAAGGAAGCUUACGGGGCGAAACUUUGCCGCCACGAGGCGGAACCUUGGUGGAACCAAUCUAGGGCUCCGGCGGAGCUGUUCCGCCGGGGAAACUUCCCUCCGGGAGGGGGAAAUAAUCACCAUCGUCUUCACCAAUGAUCCUCUCAUCGGGAGGGGGUCAAUCUCCAUCAACAUCUUCACGAGCACCAUCUCCUCUCAAAACCCUAGUUCAUCUCUUGUAUCCAAUCUUGUAUCAAAACCACAAAUUGGUACCUGUGGGUUGCUAGUAGUGUUGAUUACUCCUUGUAGUUGAUGCUAAUUGGUUUACUUGGUGGAAGAUCAUAUGUUCAGAUCCUUAAUGCAUAUUAAUACUCCUCUGAUUAUGAACAUGAAUAUGCUUCGUGAGUGGUUACAUUUGUUCCUGAGGACAUGGGUGAAGUCUUGCUAUUAGUAGUCAUGUGAAUUUGGUAUUGGUUCGAUAUUUUGAUGAGAUGUAUGUUGUCCCUCCUCUAGUGGUGUUAUGUGAAUGUGGACUACAUGACACUUCACCAUUAUUUGGGCCUAGAGGAAGGCAUUGGGAAGUAAUAAGUACAGGAUGGGUUGCUUCGUAAGGGGCUGAUUUGGAUCCACUAGUUUCAUGCUAUAGUUAGCUUUACCUUAAUACUUCUUUUGUAGUAAGGGAUGCUUGCAAUAGGGGUUAAUCAUAAGUGGGAUGCUUGUACAAGAAAGGGUAGUACCCAAGCACCGGUCCACCCACAUAUCAAAUUAUCAAAGUACCGAACGCGAAUCCUAUGAGCGUGAUGAAAACUAGCUUGGCGAUAAUUCCCAUGUGUCCUUGGGAGCGCUUUUCUCAUUAUAAGAAAUUAUCCAGGCUUGUACUUUGCUAAAAAAGGAUUGGCCACCUUGCUGCACUUUAUUUACUUUGAUUUCUUGUUACCUGUUACACAUUAUCUUAUCAUAAAACUAUCUGUUACCUACAAUUUCAGUGCUUGCAGAGAAUACCUUACUGAAAACCGCUUGUCAUUUUCUUCUGCUCCUCGUUGGGUUCGACACUCUUACUUAUCGAAAGGACUACGAUAGAUCCCCUAUACUUGUGGGUCAUCAAGACUCUUUUCUGGCGCCGCUGCUGGGGAGUGAAGCGCCUUUUGUGAGUGGAACUUGGUAAGGAAACAUUUAUAUAGUGUGCCGAAAUUUUCUGUCACUUGUUACUAUGGAAACUAAUCCUUUGAGGGGCUUGUUUGGGGAAUCUUCGCCCCGUCCAGUAGAGCGAAGAGUUGCUCCUCAACCUACUGAACCUACUGAAAAUGUUUACUUUGAUAUUCCUUCGGCUAUGAUAGAGAAACUUCUAGCUAAUCCCUUUGCAGGAGAUGGAACAUUACAGCCCGAAUUACACCUUAUCUUUGUGGAUGAAGUUUGUGGAUUAUUUAAGCUUGCAGGUAUUCCCGAUGAUGUUGUUAAGAGGAAGGUCUUCCCUUUAUCUUUGAAGGGAGAUGCAUUGACAUGGUAUAGGCUAUGUGAUGAUACGGGAUCUUGGAACUAUAAAUGAUUAUAGUUGGAAUUUCACCAUAAGUUCUAUCCUAUGCAUCUUGUUCAUCGUGAUCGCAAUUACAUAUAUAAUUUCUGGCCUCACGAAGGAGAAAGCAUCGCUCAAGCUUGGGGGAGGCUUAAGUCAAUGUUAUAUUCAUGACCGAAUCAUGAGCUCUCAAGAGAAAUGAUUAUUCAAAAAUUUUAUGCUCGUCUUUCUCUCAAUGAUCGCACCAUGCUCGAUACUUCCUGUGCUGGUUCUUAUAUGCUAAAGACUACUGAUUUCAAGUGGGAUUUAUUGGAAAGAAUUAAACACAACUCUGAAGAUUGUGGUUCCGACGAUGGUAAGGAGUCAGGUAUGACACCUAAGUUUGACUGUGCUAAAUCUUUUAUGGAUACCGAUGCUUUUCGUGGAUUUAGCGCUAAAUAUGAAAUUGACUCUGAGAUUGUAGCUUCUUUCUGUGAAUCUUUUGCUACUCACGUUGAUCUCCCUAAGGAUAAGUGGUUUAAAUAUAAUCCUCCCAUUGAAGUAAAAUUAGUUGCACUUGUUACAGUUGAAGAAAAGACUAUCACUUAUAAUGAUCCUAUUGUUCCUACAACUUUUAUUGAGAAACCACGUUUUCCUGUUAGAAUAAAGGAUCAUGCUAAAGCUUCAACUAUUGUCCGUAAGAGUAAUACUAGAACAUAUACACCUCCUGACCAAAUUAAAGUUGAACCUAGUAUUACUAUGGUUAAAGAUCUCUUGGAUGAUAAUAUAGAUGGGCAUGUUAUUUACUUCUGUGGUGCAACUGCUAAUAUUGCUAAACCAGAUGCUAAGAUACAUAGACCUAUUGUUGGCAUGCCUGUUAUUUCUGUUAAAAUAGGAGAUCAUUGUUAUCAUGGCUUAUGUGAUAUGGGUGCUAGUGCAAGUGCAAUACCUCAUUCCUUAUAUAAAGAAAUUAUGCAUGACAUUGCACCUGCUGAGAUAGAAGAAAUAGAUGUUACAAUUAAGCUAGCCAAUAGAGAUACUAUUUCACCAGUUGGGAUUGUUAGAGAUGUUGAAGUCUUGUGUGGGAAGGUCAAAUACCCUGCUGAUUUUUUUGUUCUUGGUUCCCCACAAGAUGACUUUUGUCCCAUUAUAUUUGGUAGACCCUUCUUGAACACUGUUAAUGCUAAGAUUGAUUGCGAAUAGGAUGUUGUUACGAUUGGCUUGGAUGAUAUGACGCAUGAGUUUAAUUUUGCUAAAUUUCGUAGACAACCCCGUGAUAAAGAAUUACCUAGUAAAGAUGAAAUAAUUGGUCUUGCUUCUAUUGUCGUGCCUCCUACUGAUCUGUUAGAACAAUAUUUGCUAGACCAUGAAAAUGAUAUGUUUAUGAAUGAAAGAAGGGAAAUAGAUGAAGUAUUCCUUCAGCAGGUUCCUAUCUUGAAACACAACUUACCUAUUGAAAUCCUCGGGGAUCCUCCUCCACCCAAGGGUGAUCCCUUUUUUUAGCUAAAACCAUUACCUGAUAAUCUUAAAUAUGCUUAUCUUGAUGAAAAGAAAAUAUAUCAUGUUAUUAUUAGUGCUAACCUUUCAGAACAAGAAGAAGAAAGAUUAUUGAAAACUCUGAAGAAGCACCAUGCUGCUAUUGGAUAUAAUGUGGAUGAUCUCAAGGGAAUUAGCCCCACGUUAUGUCAACACAAAAUUAGUUUGGAGGACGAUGCCAAACCAGUUAGAGACCCUCAACGACGAUUGAAUCCCAAGAUGAAACAAGUGGUAAGAAAGGAGAUACUAAAGCUCCUUAAGGCACGUAUAAUUUAUCCUGUUGCUGAUAGUGAUUGGGUAAGCCCUGUCCAUUGUGUUCCUAAAAAGGGAGGUAUUACUGUCGUUCCUAAUGAUAAAGACGAAUUGAUCCCGCAAAGAAUUAUUACAGGUUAUAGGAUGGUAAUUGAUUUUCGUACAUUAAAUAAAGCUACUAAGAAAGAUCAUUACCUUUUACCUUUUAUUGAUCAAAUGCUAGAAAGACUAUCCAAACACACAUAUUUCUGCUUUCUAGAUGGUUAUUCUGGUUUCUCUCAAAUACCUCUGUCAGCUAAGGAUCAAUCAAAAACUACUUUUACUUGCCCUUUCGGUACUUUUUCUUAUAGAUGUAUGCCUUUUGGUUUAUGUAAUGCACCUGCUACCUUUCAAAGAUGCAUGAUGGCUAUAUUCUCUGACUUUUGUGAAAAGAUGUGUGAGGUAUUCAUGGAUGACUUCUCCGUUUAUGGAUGCUCUUUUGAUGAUUGCUUGAACAACCUUGAUCUAGUGUCAGGACCCCGACUCGAUGUCACAUCGAUCUAGCCGGUAACACUUCAUAUCACUUUGCGGCCUCACGCACGGUAUUCCCACGGGUGUCGCCUUACCUUUGCCCGGGACCGUUUGCGCCUUUUGGCUCACGUAUAUGAUAGUGUCGCUAGCAUCCAUAUGAUAAAGAGCCCGGGCUGACAUGACUAGUCGUAAACCCAAAGUGGCACAGACUUACAGGGACAGGCAUCCAUGACCCAGCUUCGAACGUGUCGGUCAUCAGCAAGUGGGUCCGGGCUGUAGCACUGGGCUAGCAGGACUCCGGUAAACCGGGCUGUAGCGGGCUAACAGGACUCCGGUACUCAAAGCGUGACAUUUCCCCGAAAGGACAGACACAGGAACGAAGAAGGACACAUGCCGGCCAGCCUAAGUGUUCCAGAGCAGUAGCAAGCUACCAUGGCUCAGCGGUAACACUAGGAGACAUUUCCCGGUAAGAGAGGCUACUAAAGAUAAACAACUAGAUAGUCAGAUCCCACACAUACCAAGCAUUUCAAUCAUACACACAAUAUGCUCGAUAUGUGCAAAUACAACGAAGCAUCACAACAUGACUCUAUGACACAAGUACUUUAUUUAAGGCUCAGGGAGCCAUACAUAACAUACACCAAGGUACGGGUCUCACGACCCCACAUACAAGUCAUACAGUCAUACAAACCAGCAGCGGAAGUAACUUGUCUGAGUACAGACAACUAGUAAAAUAAAAGAGGCUUGGACAGCCUAGCUAUACUACGUGGUCCUUCACAAGCUCAGGGUCACCACCUGGGUCUUUAGCCUACUAGUUGAUGUCAACGUCUACAUAGAACCCAUCAGAAGGGGUUGCAGCGUCUUCUGUAAAAAUGUAGAUUAUAGCAACAUGAGUACAAGGGUACUCAGCAAGACUUACAUCAGAUCCUACAUACAUGCAUAGUAUCAAGAAGGGUUGGUGGAGUUAUUGCAGCAAGCCAGCUUUGACUCUUGGCUAGGCUAUCCUACGAUACUCCAACUUGAAAUGGUUUUGCGCACACGAGUCCACUACUCACCACUUCAAUACACUACCGAGGAUCCACCUCCGUCUUCCUACGGAAGAGCCAUCCUCGGCACUCACACUUAUCUUGAGGCUUUUAGUAGUUUCCAUUUACUUGUCUAUGAACUGUAUAGGCAACCAAGUAGUCCUUUACCGCGGACGCGGCUAUUCGAAUAGAUCAUGUUAACCCUGCAGGGGUGUACUUCUUCAUACAUGUUUCCACCACUUAGCGUCUGCACACGACAUGUGCUCGGCAGACUUCAAGCGAAAGCCGACGUGGGUGUAGACCACGACCUACCUAAACACCUAAGCCUCUAGUCCAGGUUUAUCGCCUAUUCAGGUUCCAUCCGCAGGGAGUCCGGCCGAGGUUUCCCAUACGGCCCCGAACGAUGUGAACAGGGUUCCCGAGAUACCUAACGGGUAUUCGGUACACCCGGCCACGUACCUACCGCAUCACAGCCCACCCCUACGGCCAGCGCUGUCCACGGCCUCCAGUAGGCUACAAACACCAGAAACUACUUGCAACUCCUGGACAGAGAGCUAGGGUGAAUAAGAAGUCGAGCGGGGUCAUAUUUCAGGGCCCAAUGCAUGGUAGUAGCUGUAUCUUAAAUCACAUAUACAGAUCUCAGUGCUUAAGGUCGGCUUCAAUGAAACAACCCACCAUGUACUCCUACAUGGCCUCUCAUCGAUACCUUUACCAAAUCGUGUUCACCACACCACUCUCAUUACCGACAUAAUCAUUUCACUCUAGCCCAUCACCCAGAUGAACCAGACCUGACACGACUCUAAGCAUAGCAGGCAUAGCAAGGUAGGAACAACACAUACAUAUGGCUCAAUCAACUCCUACACAUGCUAGUGGGUUUCAUCUAGUUACUGUGGCAAUGACAGGUCAUGCAGAGGAAAUGGGUUCAACUACCGCAGCACACAGCAGUUUGAAUCGCGUUGUCUUAAUGCAGUAAAAGAGAGCAGGAGCGAGAACAUGGGAUUGUAUCGAUAUGAUCAAAUGGUUGGUUGCUUGCCUGAUGGUUCGUUGCACGGAUACGGUUCUUCGUUAGGGUAAUCACGGUACUCCUCGGGAACAGAUCCUGUCGCAAAGGAUACCGAUACACAGCAUUACCAAACAAUAUGCAACAAUAGGAUGCAUGCAUGGAACAUGGCAAUAUGAGUGUGUUGGGCUAAUGCAACUAAAGCCAGAAGUGUUUGAGCAAAUUUGAAUCAAAGAUUCAAAUUUCAAAUUCAAAUAUGGCCUUUUAAAGUGCCUUUCCUUGUUCUGAUUAAAACAUCAAUUUAACUUGUUUGGUCAUGCAUGAAAAUAGUACAGAUGGAUAGAUUGGAUUUUUCUGAUCAUUUUUCAUAUAUAAUUUGUCCAAUUUGGAGUUACAGAAUAAAAGUUAUGAAUUUUUGAAGUUUAAAUAAUAUUCUGGAAUUUCCUGAUUUAAUUUAAAUCCAGAAAUAUCAUUUACUGCGUCAGCCUGACAUCACAGUGACAUCAGCAGGUCAACAGAGCUGGCUCGGGUCAAACCUGACGUGUGGGGUCCACACGUCAGUGUCACAGGGGCUAAUCCCGCGUUGACCCCGGGCUGGUUAGCUUUGACUAAGCCCUGGGCCCACUUGUCAGCGUCUGUAGGUGGUGGUUUAGUGGCUAAUUAGCUGGGCCACGUCAGCUCGCCGGAGUUCUGGCCGGCGGCGACCAACAGUGCGGCGGCGAUAGUGGUUUUGGUCGUUUCGGCCACCAAAUGGACCGCGGAGAUCACCGGAGUGAAGCUGAGGACGACCCGCGGCUCUUGGCGGAGUCCGUUGGGGUCGGGGUGGCCGGAGUUGACGGCGGUGAGCUCGGUUGCGGCCGCCGGGGUUCGGUCGUGCACGGGAACGGUGUUGGAGCUCGAAGUCGAGCAAAGUGAGGCGCUAGGGAUGCUCUACUGGGUUUUGUGAACGCGUUGGACUCGCCGGGGUGACCAAAUGGUCACCGGAGCUGCGUCGACGGCGAGCUCGGCGACGGCGGAGGUUCGGCCGUGGUGGAGAUGAAGCUACGGUGAGGGAUCGAGGGGGAGAAGAGGGGGAAACGGUGGCGUAGCUCACCGCGGUUGCAGUGGGCGUCGAAGCGGGCUCGGGGACGCGCUGGAGACGGCGAAUUCGUCGGCGAUGGUGGUCGGAGCCCGAAGAAGGGAACGGCGACGUGGCGGCGAUGCAGGGCUUCCGGGGACUCGUGGAGCGGUGGGGAGGAAGAGGGAGUCGAGGCGGAGCUUCUGAGCUUGUCGGGGAAGCGAGGGGUGGCCGGAGGCAGUGGCUAAGGCGAACGGCGGCGACGGUGUGCUUCGGUCGAGAGCGAGAGAGAGCGAGGGAGAAACGGGGGAGAGUGAGCGAGAGCAGGGGGAAUCGGGACGGGCUGCGGCGUCGUCCACGUGGCCAGGAGGGCGUCGGCAAGCAGGAGGUGGCCGCGCGGCCGCGCGCGCGCGAGCACGCAGCAGCUUCGGGGCGUGGGGAGGAAGACGACGGGGAGCUACAGUGUUGGGCUGGGUCGGCUGCUAGCUGGGCCGGCCAGCUGGCUGGGCCGCACAGGUAAGUCUUUCCCCUUUCUUUUUCUUGUUUUCUGUUUUAUUUAAUAUAUCUACAACUGUGUUGAAUUAAUUAAAAUACCUGGGCAAUUCCAAAAAUCACCAAACUACUCCUGGCUCAUAGUUGGAUUAUUUCCAACAUGAAACAUUUUAGUUUGGAGAUAUUUGAGCAUUUAAAUAUUUUAUAUUAUUUUAAAUGCCCAAAUUCAGAUAUCUAUGAUUUAAUUCAAAGACCCUAUGAUGGCCUAGAAAAAUGUGCACCACUUUUGUCAGAGGUUCUGAACCAAGGCUAAAAUGAUGGACAUUUUAGAAGGGCAUUUCAGGUUCAUUGAAAAAUUAUUUUAGUAACCCUAGUUGGUUUCAGAGGGGACUGGGGGUUCUGUCAUCCCCAUUUCAAGUUUCUGAUGAAAGAGUAAACAUGAUGCAACACUCUAAUGCAUGACUAGCUAGGGUGUGACAACUCACCCCCACUCAAAAGAAUCUCGUCCCGAGAUUUGGGUUCCUCCGAGAAGAAGGCGGGAUACUCAAGUCGAAGACGAUCCUCCCUUUCCCAAGUUGCUUCAUCUUCAGAAUGAUGCGACCAUUGAACUUUGAGGAACUUGAUGUUAUGACGUCGCGUGGUACGCUCGGCCUGAUCGAGGAUACGAAUGGGGUACUCUCGAUAUGUAAGAUCAUCUUGGAGAUCAAGCGUUUCGUGGUCCACUUCACGGAUAGGAUCCGAGAAGCAACGCCUGAGUUGAGAAACGUGGAAGACAUCGUGAACUCUGGAGAGGUGCGGAGGUAGUUCCAAUUGGUAGGCAACUUCCCCUCGUUUGGCAAGAAUGCGAAAAGGUCCAAUGUAACGAGGAGCCAAUUUGCCUUUGAUACCGAAACGAUGGGUUCCCUUCAGAGGGGUGACCCGAAGAUAAGCCUUCUCGUCAACCUCGAAAGUCAUAGCCUUAUGCUUUCGGUCAUAUUGACUCUUUUGACGGGAUUGGGCUGUUUUCAACUUUUCACGAACGAUACGAACUUGUUCUUCUGCUUCCUGAAUCAUAUCCGGGCCAAAGAAUUGUCUUUCCCCGGUCUCUGACCAGUUAAGGGGUGUUCGACAUCGUCGUCCAUAGAGAACUUCAAAAGGGGCUUUACCCAAGCUAGAUUGAUAGCUGUUGUUGUAAGCGAAUUCGGCAAAUGGAAGGCACUUCUCCCAGUCCAUUCUGAACGAGAUAACAGAGGCUCGAAGCAUGUCUUCUAGAAUCUGAUUGACGCGUUCCACUUGACCACUUGACUGAGGGUGGAAAGCGGUGCUAAAAGAAAGACGAGUUCCCAUAGCAUUUUGGAAGCUUUCCCAAAAUCGAGAGGUGAAAAGACUUCCUCGAUCCGAAUUGAUUUCCAAAGGAACACCAUGGAGAGACACUAUCCGGGAGAUGUAUAAGUCUGCCAGUUGACUAGCGGUUAUACUCUCACGAACAGGUAAGAAAUGAGCUACUUUGGAAAGACGAUCGACCACGACGAAAAUAGCAUUAUUCCCUCUUUUGGUUCUGGGAAGACCGGUAAUGAAAUCCAUACCAAUUUUAUCCCAUUUCCAUUCAGGAAUAGCUAAGGGUUGAAGGGUGCCAGCAGGCCGUUGAUGCUCUGCUUUUACACGACGACAGACGUCGCAAUUAGCAAUAUACUGAGCGAUUUCUCUCUUCAUCCUAGUCCACCAGAACCUCUGGCGUAGGUCCUGAUACAUCUUGGUACUACCGGGAUGAAUGGUGAGAGGAGAUUCAUGAGCUUCCUUAAGGAUUAAUCGCCUUAAGUUGCGCACCUUGGGAACCACUAGUCGAUCCCCGAAGUAUACGACUCCUUGAUCAUUAACGGAGAAACAAUUCGCAACUCCUUUCUGAAUGUUCCUCUUGAUGCGGGAGAUUCCCGGAUCUACCUUCUGUGCUUUGAUAAUUUGAUCCGUAAGGGUAGGUUUUGCCACCAAGGUGGAGAGAAAACCUUGAGGAACAAUGUGAAGGUUAAGCUUUCGAAAUUCCUCAUGGAGAAGCGGUUGACUUUGUUGUAACAUCAGGUUGUUACAAUAAGAUUUACGACUUAGCGCAUCAGCCAUGACGUUGGCUUUCCCUGGGGUAUAGGUUAUUCCUAAGUCGAAGUCUGUGAUCAAUUCAACCCAACGUCUUUGCCUAAGAUUCAGAUCCGGUUGGGUGAAGAUGUACUUCAGACUUUGGUGAUCAGUGAAUAUUUCGGAACGAUUACCGAGGAGAUAAUGUCGCCAGGUCUUAAGUGCAUAGACUACGGCUGCAAGUUCUAGAUCAUGAGUAGGAUAAUUCUCCUCAUGUGGGUGCAAUUGCCGUGAAGCGUAAGCAAUUACGUGUCGAUCUUGCAUGAGAAUGCAACCUAGUCCUUGUCGCGAGGCGUCGCAGUAGAUAACAAAGUCCUUGGAGAAGUCUGGCGGUACCAAUACAGGAGCAGAGGUCAGGCGUCUUUUCAGUUCCUGAAAGCUGUGCUCACAUUGUGGAGUCCAUUCGAACUUUUUAUCUUUCUUGAGGAGUUCGGUUAGAGGUUUAGCAACUUUGGAGAAGUUCUCGACAAAGCGACGGCAAUAGCUCGCUAAGCCCAGAAAACUCCGAACUUGCUUGACCGAUUCGGGUGGAGUCCAGUUAAGGACGGCUUGAACUCGCUCAGGGUUAACCGCAAUACCUUUACCAGAUAUUACAUGACCCAGAUAGGUCACUUCUGGCAACCAGAAUUCACAUUUAGAAAAUUUGGCAUAAAGGCGAUGCUCUCGAAGUUUCUGCAACACUAGUCUUAGAUGUUCGGCAUGUUCUUCCUCGUUCUUGGAGUAUAUGAGUAUAUCAUCGAGAUAAACUACGACGAAUUUAUCCAAAUACUCCAUGAAGAUUGAGUUCAUUAACCGAGAAAAGGUGGCUGGAGCGUUGGUUAAACCGAAGGACAUGACGGUGUACUCGUAUUGGCCAUAACGAGUAACAAAGGCCGUUUUAGGGAUGUCCCCGUUUCUGAUUUUGAUUUGAUGGUAACCCAACCUCAAAUCCAUCUUGGAGAAGACUGAGGAUCCAGCGAGCUGAUCAUACAGAUCGUCGAUCCUGGGAAGCGGGUAUUUGUUCUUGAUUGUGACCAAAUUGACAGGUCGGUAAUCUACAACCAUCCGGUCCGUACCAUCCUUCUUCUUAACGAAUAGGACGGGGCAAGCCCACGGAGAUGAACUGGGGCGGAUGAAACCCUUUUUCAAGGAUUCAUCGAGUUGUUUCUUAAGCUCGGCUAGUUCUAGGGGUGCCAUCUUAUAAGGCCUUCUAGCAAUCGGAACGGUUCCGGGGAUGAGGUCUAUUACGAACUCAACAUCCCUGUUAGGUGGAACCCCUGGCAAUUCUUCUGGAAAGACAUCCGGAAAGUCACGGACUACCGGAACGUCCUCAAGGUCUGGUAAAGGGCUGGCGUUAAGAGAAUAUAAUUGUCGCUUGGCUAUUCGGGUCAAGACAUUAACUAUCUUCCCCGAAGGAUGGGUGAGUUGAACAGUCCUAGAGAAGCAAUCAAUUUUGGCUUGAUGAGCUGACAUCCAGUCCAUACCCAAAAUGAUAUUAAUAUCUGAAGAUUUAAGGGCUAUCAAAGAUGCGAGAAAAACAAGUCUGUCGACUUGGAUUUCAUUUCCAUGGCUUACUCUAGAAGUUUGCCAUUUGGAUCCCGGAGUUUGAAUUACCAUAGAGGAUGGCAAGUCACAGAAUGCAACGUUAUGCAAACGAGCAUAAUUUUCAGAUAUAAAAGAAUGAGAGGCUCCUGUAUCGAAAAGAACAGAUGCCGGGUGGCAACUAACAAGAAGCGUACCGAGAACGACGUUGGGAUCUUCUUGAGCUUCUUCGGCAGAGAUACAGUUGACAUGGCCACGUGAAGCGGUGACCGGUUUAGCAUGAAACACUUUUCCUGUCGGCUUGCCACGGCCAACAGCUUUAGCAGAUUGAUUGGGGUUGGUCUGGGGACACUCACGCAUAUAAUGACUAGAUUCCCCACACUUGAAACAAGUCACGGAACUGGUACGUGGAGGAGCAUUAUUGGUUGGACCCCCAUAGGGCUUAGCUGGAGCAGACUGUUGAGCGGGGCGAGGCGCCUGGAAAGAUGGCCUCGGUGUGAACCUGGGUGGCAAGGCGGUGUUGGGUACCCACACGCGGCGCUUCUGAGGACCAGCACCGGAUGAGGAACCCAUGUCACGUCCAUGCUUGCGUGUUGCGUCAUAGUCGGUCUGACCAGUUUCAGCACUGAUGGCUUUGUUGACAAGUUUCGGAAAAGAUGUGCACUCAUGCAGACGGAGGUCGCGGCGAAGCUCAGGACUAAGGCCCUUGCGGAACCUUGCUUGCUUCUUGGCGUCAGUAGACACUUCCUCAGUUGCAUAUCGGGCGAGCUUACCAAACUCUCUGCUAUAGGCAUCCACAGAAAGUCGGCCUUGGGUGAAAUUGCAAAAUUCUUCACGCUUACGGUCCAUGAGACUCUCCGGAAUGUGAUGUUCACGGAAAGCCUCGCUGAACUCAGCCCAAGUAGUGACAUGGCCCGCUGGGCGCAUAGCUCCAUAAUUCUCCCACCAAAGACUGGCGGGGCCUUCAAGAUGAUAUGCGGCAAAGGUGACCUUGUCAGCCUCCGCUACCAGCGCGGAACGCAGCUUGUGAGAAAUACUGCGAAGCCAAUCAUCAGCGUCGAGAGGCUCGACGGAGUGGUGGAACGUGGGUGGAUGCAAUUUGAUAAAAUCGCUGAGUGACACCACGUUAGCCCUCAUAUGGUGUGCUGUAUUCUGUUCAAUACGCUCCAACAAACGGUUUGUCUCCCGCUUGUUUCUCUCAGCUUCCAUCAUCACCUCGGCUAGUGAAGGAGGAUGAGGCAGAUUUUCAUUCCUGGCUUCACUGCCUUCGGCCUGCUCUUGAGGAGCAGGGUUGGCGCGCGUGUUGACCAUCCUAGGUAAACAAGACAAUGAUUUAGUCAGAAUGAUAAAAUUCCGACAUAGGAUACAUAAUGCAAGGAAUAACUCGGAAUGCAAGAUGAUCAUCCGUAUGACAUGGUAGAUACAGAAACUGCUUCUUUUAUUCCAUCGUCAUACACACCAUACAAGGUUUAGUACAAGACCAAACAAAGUACUAUUACGGUGAAAAGGGAUUACAUCUCAUCGGAGGCAUUCCAAACUCCUAUACAUUAUUUUUCUACAACUCCGGAAAGAGUACAAACUAGGUCAUAUCCCACGAGUCACGCAGGACGACAGACGACACAGCUAGUGCGAACUAGGGAUACUAUCACUAACUCAGACCGAUCCGUAGUAGUCCUCAUAGAAGUCACCUCCAUAGCCUGGAAGCUCAACAUGUUCAUCCGGAAACAGACGAUCUCGCGGAGCUUGUGGACCAAAGGGGCUAGGAUGAGGCCUUGGACCAACAAACGGUGGCCUGCGGGGACCGCGAGGUGGGGUGAUGCCUCCUACAUCACGCCAAACCAUCACGUCUGGCAGAGCAGAUCUCACAGGAUAGAGAUCGCGCAUAUCUGAAUAUCCAGCUUGCACCGCCGGUGCGAACCGAGUCAAAGUGGCCCAGUGGUCAGCACGGGUAUUGAAGAGCUCUAACCUUAAGGCCCGAUUUUCACGGUCCUUAUCCUCGAGCAUCUCAGCAGUGGUGCGAGUCUGUGAAUCCUCCUGAGUGGAGUCAGCAUAGAUAGCCUGGAGAUACCCUUGUGCUCCCGGAAGUGAUCCUGGCAUAUACCGGAAGUCAGAGUCCCGAAAUAGACCAGAUCUGACUCGCAUAAUGGUCAUCAUAGAGUAGGCGGCGUCCUGCACAGCCAUCUCAAUAGUAACCCCGAGUCCAUAGGAGCAGUGAAGAGGCUCGGUGGAUCCAGGAUAAGAUGGAAAUAUCCUGACAGUGCAGAGAUACUGGCUUUGAUUAAAAUCUCGGAAUUGCUCUUCGACCGUGUACUCAGGAUACCAGCGGUAUCCAGCCUCAGUCAUUACCCUGACCAACUUAGCAGUAUGGCCGGGUACAUCUAGGCAUCGAGUCAGGCGAACCACUUGAUUGAGGUCGCGAGUGGCCAUCUGAAAGCACAAUUAUAAUGCAAAGGCAUUAGAAUUUCUAGCAAAAUUUCGGCAGCAUAACAGCUGUAAAUGCUCAAAAAGGAUAUUGAGACAUUUGACAAAGGAUUUCGUACACACUCAACAUCAUCACAUCAAGUCUUGAAACCAUUUCUACAACAUAAUGUGGUAGUAGAACUGAGCUAGGCUGAUAACCAUCAAACUUAUAAGGUACUACUGAUUAGUAACACGUGAACCUGAUAGAGAGAACAGAUCCUAAUUCCUUAACCCCCGGUGGAAGAAUGGACUGACUCAGAUCAGAAAGCCACAAGGUAUAAGGAGUAAAAAGAGCCUUACGUUCCAUCCCACAAGCAAUUCCCCUACAUAUAACUAAAGAAUUUCUAGACUCAACAUCGACCAGUUUGGCUUGGAGAACCUACAUGCAGUCCGGCUCUGAUGCCAACGCUGUCAGGACCCCGACUCGAUGUCACAUCGAUCUAGCCGGUAACACUUCAUAUCACUUUGCGGCCUCACGCACGGUAUUCCCACGGGUGUCGCCUUACCUUUGCCCGGGACCGUUUGCGCCUUUUGGCUCACGUAUAUGAUAGUGUCGCUAGCAUCCAUAUGAUAAAGAGCCCGGGCUGACAUGACUAGUCGUAAACCCAAAGUGGCACAGACUUACAGGGACAGGCAUCCAUGACCCAGCUUCGAACGUGUCGGUCAUCAGCAAGUGGGUCCGGGCUGUAGCACUGGGCUAGCAGGACUCCGGUAAACCGGGCUGUAGCGGGCUAACAGGACUCCGGUACUCAAAGCGUGACAUUUCCCCGAAAGGACAGACACAGGAACGAAGAAGGACACAUGCCGGCCAGCCUAAGUGUUCCAGAGCAGUAGCAAGCUACCAUGGCUCAGCGGUAACACUAGGAGACAUUUCCCGGUAAGAGAGGCUACUAAAGAUAAACAACUAGAUAGUCAGAUCCCACACAUACCAAGCAUUUCAAUCAUACACACAAUAUGCUCGAUAUGUGCAAAUACAACGAAGCAUCACAACAUGACUCUAUGACACAAGUACUUUAUUUAAGGCUCAGGGAGCCAUACAUAUCAUACACAAAGGUACGGGUCUCACGACCCAACAUACAAGUCAUACAGUCAUACAAGCCAGCAGCGGAGGUACAUUGUCUGGGUACAGACAACUAGUAAAAUAAAAGAGGCUUGGAAGCCUAACUAUACUACGUGGUCCAUCACAAGCUCAGGGUCACCACCUGGGUCUUUAGCCUACUCGUUGAUGUCAACGUCUACAUAGAACCCAUCAGAAGGGGUUGCAGCGUCUUCUGUAAAAAAUGUAGAUUAUAGCAACAUGAGUACAAAGGUACUCAGCAAGACUUACAUCAGAUCCUACAUACAUGCAUAGUAUCAAGAAGGGUUGGUGGAGUUAUUGCAGCAAGCUAGCUUUGACUCUUGGCUAGACUAUCCUACGAUACUCCAACUUGAAAUGUUUUGCGCACACGAGUCCACUACUCACCACUUCAAUACACUACCUAGGAUCCACCUCCGUCUUCCUACGGAAGAGCCAUCCUCGGCACUCACACUUAUCUUGAGGCUUUUAGUAGUUUCCAUUUACUUGUCUAUGAACUGUAUAGGCAACCAAGUAGUCCUUUACCGCGGACGCGGCUAUUCGAAUAGAUCAUGUUAACCCUGCAGGGGUGUACUUCUUAAUACACGCUCUCACCACUUAUCGUCGUUUACACGACAUGUACUCGGCAACCUUCAAGCGGAAGCCCAACGUGGGUGUCGGCCACGACCUACCUAAUCACCUAAGCCUCCAGUCCAGGUUUAUCGCCUAUUCAGGUUCCAUCCGCAGGGAGUCCGGCCAAGGUUUCCCAUACGGCCCCGAACGAUGUGAACAGGGUUCCCGAGAUACCUAACGGGUAUUCGGUACACCCGGCCACGUACCUACCGCAUCACAGCCCACCCCUACGGUCAGCGCUGUCCACGGCCUCCAGUAGGCUACAAACACCAGAAACUACUUGCAACUCCUGGACGGAGAACUAGGGUGAAUAAGAAGUCGAGAGGGUCCAUUGGUUUCGGGCCCAAUGCAUGGUAGUAGCUGAUUCUUAAAUCACACAUACAGAUCUCAGUGCUUAAGGUCGGCUUCAAUGAAACAACCCACCAUGUACUCCUACAUGGCCUCUCAUCGAUACCUUUACCAAAUCGUGUUCACCACACCACUCUCAUUACCGACAUAAUCAUUUCACUCUAGCCUAUCACCCAGAUGAACCAGACCUGACACGACUCUAAGCAUAGCAGGCAUAGCAAGGUAGGAACAACACAUACAUAUGGCUCAAUCAACUCCUACACAUGCUAGUGGGUUUCAUCUAGUUACUGUGGCAAUGACAGGUCAUGCAGAGGAAAUGGGUUCAACUACCGCAGCACACAGCAGUUUGAAUCGCGUUGUCUUAAUGCAGUAAAAGAGAGCAGGAGCGAGAACAUGGGAUUGUAUCGAUAUGAUCAAAUGGUUGGUUGCUUGCCUGAUGGUUCGUUGCACGGAUACUGUUCUUCGUUAGGGUAAUCAUGGUACUCCUCGGGAACAGAUCCUGUCGCAAAGGAUACCGAUACACAACAUUACCAAACAAUAUGCAACAAUAUGAUGCAUGCAUGGAACAUGGCAAUAUGAGUGUGUUGGGCUAAUGCAACUAAAACCAGAAGUGUUUGAGCAAAUUUGAAUCAAAGAUUCAAAUUUCAAAUUCAAAUAUGGCCUUUUAAAGUGCCUUUCCUUGUUCUGAUUAAAACAUCAAUUUAACUUGUUUGGUCAUGCAUGAAAAUAGUACAGAUGGAUAGAUUGGAUUUUUCUGAUCAUUUUUCAUAUAUAAUUUGUCCAAUUUGGAGUUACAGAAUAAAAGUUAUGAAUUUUUGAAGUUUAAUUAAUAUUCUGGAAUUUCCUGAUUUAAUUUAAAUCCAGAAAUAUCAUUUACUGCGUCAGCCUGACAUCACAGUGACAUCAGCAGGUCAACAGAGCUGGCUCGGGUCAAACCUGACGUGUGGGGUCCACACGUCAGUGUCACAGGGGCUAAUCCCGCGUUGACCCCGGGCUGGUUAGCUUUGACUAAGCCCUGGGCCCACUUGUCAGCGUCUGUAGGUGGUGGUUUAGUGGCUAAUUAGCUGGGCCACGUCAGCUCGCCGGAGUUCUGGCCGGCGGCGACCAACAGUGCGGCGGCGAUAGUGGUUUUGGUCGUUUCGGCCACCAAAUGGACCGCGGAGAUCACCGGAGUGAAGCUGAGGACGACCCGCGGCUCUUGGCGGAGUCCGUUGGGGUCGGGGUGGCCGGAGUUGACGGCGGUGAGCUCGGUUGCGGCCGCCGGGGUUCGGUCGUGCACGGGAACGGUGUUGGAGCUCGAAGUCGAGCAAAGUGAGGCGCUAGGGAUGCUCUACUGGGUUUUGUGAACGCGUUGGACUCGCCGGGGUGACCAAAUGGUCACCGGAGCUGCGUCGACGGCGAGCUCGGCGACGGCGGAGGUUCGGCCGUGGUGGAGAUGAAGCUACGGUGAGGGAUCGAGGGGGAGAAGAGGGGGAAACGGUGGCGUAGCUCACCGCGGUUGCAGUGGGCGUCGAAGCGGGCUCGGGGACGCGCUGGAGACGGCGAAUUCGUCGGCGACGGUGGUCGGAGCCCGAAGAAGGGAACGGCGACGUGGCGGCGAUGCAGGGCUUCCGGGGACUCGUGGAGCGGUGGGGAGGAAGAGGGAGUCGAGGCGGAGCUUCUGAGCUUGUCGGGGAAGCGAGGGGUGGCCGGAGGCAGUGGCUAAGGCGAACGGCGGCGACGGUGUGCUUCGGCCGAGAGCGAGAGAGAGCGAGGGAGAAACGGGGGAGAGUGAGCGAGAGCAGGGGGAAUCGCGACGGGCUGCGGCGUCGUCCACGCGGCCAGGAGGGCGUCGGCAAGCAGGAGGUGGCCGCGCGGCCGCGCGCGCGCGAGCACGCAGCAGCUUCGGGGCGUGGGGAGGAAGACGACGGGGAGCUACAGUGUUGGGCUGGGUCGGCUGCUAGCUGGGCCGGCCAGCUGGCUGGGCCGCACAGGUAAGUCUUUCCCCUUUCUUUUUCUUGUUUUCUGUUUUAUUUAAUAUAUCUACAACUGUGUUGAAUUAAUUAAACUACCUGGGCAAUUCCAAAAAUCACCAAACUACUCCUGGCUCAUAGUUGGAUUAUUUCCAACAUGAAACAUUUUAGUUUGGAGAUAUUUGAGCAUUUAAAUAUUUUAUAUUAUUUUAAAUGCCCAAAUUCAGAUAUCUAUGAUUUAAUUCAAAGACCCUAUGAUGGCCUAGAAAAAUGUGCACCACUUUUGUCAGAGGUUCUGAACCAAGGCUAAAAUGAUGGACAUUUUAGAAGGGCAUUUCAGGUUCAUUGAAAAAUUAUUUUAGUAACCCUAGUUGGUUUCAGAGGGGACUGGGGGUUCUGUCAUCCCCAUUUCAAGUUUCUGAUGAAAGAGUAAACAUGAUGCAACACUCUAAUGCAUGACUAGCUAGGGUGUGACAUCUAGUUUUGCAGAGAUGCGAAGACACUAGUCUCAUCUUGAAUUGGGAAAAGUGCCACUUUAUGGUUAAUGAAGGCAUUGUCUUGGGGCACAAAAUCUCUGAGAGAGCUAUUGAAGUUGAUAAAGCUAAAGUUGAUGCUAUUGAAAAGAUGCCAUGUCCCAAGGACAUAAAAGGUAUAAGAAGUUUCCUUGGUCAUGCCGGUUUUAUAAGGAGGUUCAUUAAUGAGUUUCUAAAAUCUCUAGGCCUCUGACUAAUUUAUUGCAAAAGGAUAUUCCUUUUGUCUUUGAUGAUGAUUGUGUAGAAGCAUUUGAAAUACUUAAGAAAGCUUUGAUCACUGCACCUAUUGUUCAACCACCUGAUUGGAAUUUACCUUUUGAAAUUAUGUGCGAUGCUAGUGAUUAUGUUGUAGGUGUUGUUCUAGGGCAAAGAGUUGAUAAGAAAUUGAAUGUUAUCCAGUAUGCUAGUAAGACUCUUGAUACUGCCAAAAGAAAUUAUGCUACUACUGAAAAAGAAUUCUUAGCAGUUGUGUUUGCAUGUGAUAAGUUUAGACCUUAUAUUGUUGAUUUCAAAGUUACUAUUCACACUGAUCAUGCUGCUAUUAAAUAUCUUAUGGAAAAGAAAGAUGCUAAGCCUAGACUCAUUAGAUGGGUUCUCUUGCUCCAAGAAUUUGAUUUGCAUAUUAUUGAUAGAAAGGGAGCUGAGAACCCCGUUGCAGACAACUUGUCUAUGUUAGAGAAUGUUCUUGAUGACCCACUGCCUAUUGAUGAUAGCUUUCCCGAUGAACAAUUAGCGGUUAUUAAUGCUUCUCGUACUACUCCUUGGUAUGCUAAUUAUGCUAAUUACAUUGUUGGUAAAUUUAUACCACCUAGUUUCACAUACCAGCAAAAGAAAAAGUUCUUUUAUGAUUUAAGACAUUACUUCUGGGAUGACCCACACCUUUAUAAAGAAGGAGUAGAUGGUGUUAUUAGAUGUUGUGUACCUGAGCAUGAACAGGAACAGAUCCUAUGCAAGUGUCACUCUUAAUCAUAUGGAGGACACCGUGCUGGAGACAGAACUGCACAUAAGGUAUUGCAAUCCGGUUUUUAUUGGCCUACUCUCUUCAAAGAUGCUCGUAAGUUUUCCUUGUCUUGUGAUGAAUGUCAAAGAAUUGGUAACAUUAGUAGAUGUCAAGAAAUGCCUAUGAAUUAUUCUCUUGUUAUUGAACCAUAUGAUGUUUUGGGCUUUGAUUAUAUGGGACCUUUUCCUGCCUCUAAUGGAUAUACACAUAUUUUAGUUGAUGUUGAUUACGUUACUAAGUGGGUAGAAGCUAUUCCAACUAGUAGUGCUGAUCAUAACACUUCUAUUAAGAUGCUUAAAGAAGUUAUUUUUCUGAGCUUUGGAGUCCCUAGAUAUGUUAUGACUGAUGUUGGUUCACAUUUUAUUCAUGGUGCUUUCCGUAAGAUGCUUGCUAAGUAUGAUGUUAAUCAUAGAAUUGCAUCUCCUUAUCACCCGCAGUCUAGUGGUCAAGUAGAGUUGAGCAAUAGAGAGCUCAAAUUAAUUUUGCAAAAGACUGUGAAUAGAUCUAGAAAGAAUUGGUCCAAGAAACUUGAUGAUGCAUUAUGGGCCUAUAGAACUGCAUAUAAAAAUCCUAUGGGCAUGUCUCCAUAUAAGAUGGUUUAUGGAAAAGCUUGUCAUUUACCUAUAGAACUUGAACAUAAAGCAUAUUAGGCUAUCAAAGAGCUCAACUAUGACUUCAAACUUGCCGGUGAGAAGAGGUUGUUUGAUAUUAUCUUACUUGAUGAAUGGAGAACCCAAGCCUAUGAGAAUGUCAAGCUAUUCAAAGAAAAAGUCAAACGCUGGCAUGACAAAAGGAUACAAAAGCGUGAGUUUAACGUAGGUGAUUAUGUGUUAUUAUUCCAUUCUCAUUUAAGAUUUUUUGCAGGAAAACUUCUCUCUAAAUCUGAAGGUCCUUACGUUAUCGAGGAGGUCUAUCGUUCGGGUGCCAUAAAAAUCAACAACUUUGAAGGCACAAGUCCAAGGGUGGUGAACGGUCAAAGGAUUAAACAUUAUAUCUCAGGUAAUCCUAUCAAUUUUGAAACUAAUAUUAUUGAAACCGUAACCCCGGAGGUAUACAUAAGGGACACUUUCCAGAACGUUCCAGACUCCGAAAAGGAAUAGGUAUGUGGUAUGGUAAGUAAACCGACUCCAAAACAAUUCUAAUGGCAAUUUUUAUCAGUUUUGGAAUAUUUAUGAAUUUAAGGAAGAAAGAAAUAGUCCGGGAAAGACAUGAGGCCUCCACGACGGUGCAGGGCGCGCCCACCCUUACUGGGUGCGCCCCCUGUCUCGUGGCCACCUCGUGUGCCUCCCGGACUCCGUUUUCUUGCACGUUACAUAUUUUGGUUGGUAAAAAUUCAUUAUAUAAACUCCCGAAGGUUUUGACCACCGUAUCACGCAAAUAUCCUCUGUUUUCGUUUCGAGCUGUUUUCUAUGACAGAUCUAGAGCAUAAUUGCAUCACCCUCCUUCAACAAUGAAGACAGGGAUGCUUGGCUAUUGAAGAUAGAGCUGAAAAGAGAAGAACCGGAAGAGAUCAACAAGGAUGAAGGGAUCAAGAAGGCCAUGGAGGUUCAAGCUCCGGCAGUGAAAGAAGAAGAUAUCCCUCAACCAUUACCUAACCUCUUUAGUCCAACUAAGAUUGAAGCUUUCAAGAUGAUUGAGUUAGCUCGCAUACAGAAUAAGUAUCUCACACAGGAGAAUAUUUUGCUGAAAGAUCAUAUCGCCGGACUUAAGGGCAUUAUCCGCAAGUUGGAGGAGCUUUUACGCUCAAUGUGCAAUUAUCCACCGUCAUCAUCACCAUCUCCAUCACCUCCGAGGACAUAAUAACAUGGGUAUGGGCACUCCCCUUGGCAACUGCCAAGCUUGAGGGAGGUGCCCGGGUAUCGUAUCACCAUCACUCUUAUCUUUACCAUUUUAUUUAGUACGAUCCUUUUAGUAGUAUCUUGAUCUAGUAGAUUGAAGUUUUGAUAUCAAGUAGUUUUGAGUUUUGCUUUGUAAUCUCUUUAUGUAAUCGAGUUCGUAAGCUAUCUAUAAUAAAGAUUAGUGUUGAGUCAAGGGCUUUGUUAUGUUGCUACGAUCUUGAGAAAGUAGAAAGAAUAAAAGAGUUCAUAUUGAUCUUAUGGAUAGUAAUAACUUCACACAUAAAAAGUAUGAGGCAUAAAAGUUGUUGAGAGUUGAUAAACGCAAUUUUUGGUCAUCAUUGCAAUUAAUAGGAAGUUAUAAGGAAAGAGAGGUUUCACAUACAAAUAUACUAUCUUGGACAUCUUUUAUGAUUGUGAGCACUCAUUAAGUAUGACAUGCUAAAAGAGUCGACGUUGGACAAGGAAUACAACGUAAUGGUUUAUGUUUUCUCACAUCUCAGUUAAAGUAUAUUGUCAUUGACCUUCCAAACAUGUUGAGCUUGACUUUCCCCCUCAUGCUAGCCAAAUUCCUAGCACCAAGUAGAGAUACUACUUGUGCUUCCAAAUAUCCUUAAAACCCAGUCUUGCCAUGAGAGUCCACCAUAUCUACCUAUGGAUUGAGUAAGAUCCUUCAAGUAAGUUGUCAUCGGUGCAGGCAAUAAAAAUUGCUCUCUAAAUAUGCAUGUCUUAUAAGUGCGGAGAAAAUAAGAUUUAUACGAUCUUGUUAUGGAAGCAAUAAAAGCGACGGACUGCAUAAUAAAGAUCCAUAUACAAGUCACAAUAUAAAGUGACGUUCUUUCGUACUAAGAUUUUGUGUAUCCAACCCUAAAAGCGCAUGACAACCUCUGCUUACCUCUGCGAAGGGCCUAUCUUUUACUUUAUGUUUUUACUUUAUGCUUGAGUCAAGGUGAUCUUCACCUUUCCCUUUUUCAUUUUAUCCUUUGGCAAGCUGCUCGUGUUAGAAAGAUCAUGAUAUAUAUAUCCAAUUGGGUGUAAGUUAGCAUGGGCUAUUAUUGUUGACAUCACCUAAAGGUGAAUACGUUGGGAGGCAACACAAUAAGCCCCUAUCUUUCUUAGUGUCCGGCUGAAUCUCCAUAACCACAAGUAUUGCGUGAGUGUUAGCAAUUGUAGAGGACUACAUGAUAGUUGAGUAUGUGGACUUGCUGAAAGGCUCUAUUCUUGAAUCUUUCUGACAUUAUGAUAAAUUGCAAUUGCUUUAAUGACUGAGAUUAUAGUUUUUUAGUUUUCAAUGAAGUUUCUGAACCAUACUUGACAUUGUGAAUUGAUUGUUACUUGAGCAUAGGAAGUCGUAUGAGAAAAUCUAUUUAUGUUGUUGUUAUAAGCAUGAUCAUGAUGCCCUCAUGUCCGUAUUUUAUUUUUAUCGACACCUCUAUCUCUAAACAUGUGGACAUAUUUUUUGAUUUCGGCUUAUGCUUGAGGACAAGCGAGGUCUAAGCUUGGCAAGCUGGUUGAGGCGGUCCUGCUGGGUGUUGGCCGCGUUGAGGAGCUCAUGCAUCCGCCCGAUGUGCUCCUGCAGCUCCUCACCUGUGAGCCGGUCCAGGCCGACUGUGACUGCCUAGGCAGCACGCAUGUUCUUUGCUGGGGUCUCAUAGACAGUCCGGACGGCGCCGAGGGCCCGGCCAAUCGCUCCUCAUCGGGUACGCACAUCGGUGACGCGGCUUGUCUCGGCCGCGAUGGGCGUGAAUCCGUAGGUGGUGUUGUGCUCCAGCUGAGCGGCGUCCAGGCGAUGUUGGGUGGCGGCGAGCGUCUCGGACAGGUCCAGCAUCUGUUGGCACCUUUCGUCCAGCUGAGUUCGGGCCUCAGCGAUGUUGGUGGCAUCAAUGUCGGUGCCGAUGGGGAUGCGGAGGCUCUGCAUCAUGGCACCAACAGAUCGGACGGCUCGUUCCGUUCCACUGCGGCCCUGGCUUCUGCGGCCUUCCUCGUCUUGCUCGAUGAGGAGGAGGCGCCAUCGCCGGUGACGAAAACCUCCAAAUCGACGUCCAUUGCCCCUGUGGAAAUGCCAGCACCGAGGGAGAGGGGAGAGUCGGAGUAGCUGAGCACCUCGUUGGGGUACUCGUCGGUCGUGAAUGCAUCGGAGAUGCGCAGCGCGACAAAGGAGGUGGCGAGCGCGCCGAUGACAUGUCCGCCAGCGCAACAGACUCGUCGGAGUAGGAGAAGGGCCCCGUCUGAAGCAUGCUCCCAGACAUCUCCUCGAGCUACCCCAUGGUGGGCACCAACUGUCGUGGUGGGCCCUUGGCAGAUGCCAAGGGAUGGCUAAAGAGAGGAGGAGGCUCGAGGGCGCUGGUGGGCUCUAGAGGCGAGGUUGGCAUGAGAGGGCGUGGGACGCCGGACAUACCCAGGUUUGGGGCUCUCCGGAGAGAUAACACCCCUAGUCCUGCCGAGUGUCGUUUGAUGUUUAUAGUACAAUGUCGCUCCUGGAGCUGUAUGGGAGAGAAAGGGGGCUGGCCAAGGCUUAGGCUGCUCCUUCUCUCCAGGGUUGCUAUUUCGGUGGCUAGUUCCGUGCUUACUUUCUUUUUUCCGCUACCUGCCCGUAUAUGCGUGGGCUCCUGGGGGGUUUUAUAGACCAACCCCCCAGGGAUACAAUGGUAAUAUUUUCAGUCGAUGGGUUCGGGUUGUCAGUGUCUAGGGACACGGGCUAGGACCUGAUACGUCCAUUUUGCAUCACGUUUUUAUAUCAAUAUUUAUUGCAUUAUGGGAUGUUAUUACACAUUAUAUAUCAAUACUUAUGGCUAUUCUCUCUUAUUUUAUAAGGUUUACCAUGAAGAGGGGGAAUGCCGGCAGCUGGAAUUCUGGCUAGAAAAGGAGCAAACAUUGGAAUACUAUUCUGCACAGCUCCAAAAAUCCUAAAACUCCACGAAACUUAUUUUUGGAAUUAAUAAGAAUUAUUGAGCGGAAGAAACACCUCAGGGGACCCACACCUUGGCCAGGAGGGUGGGGGGCGCGCCCACCCCUACUGGGUAGGCCCCCCGGUCUCCUGGGCCCCCUAGUGGUUCUCUGGUGUCCAUCUUCUGCUAUAUGAAGGCUUUUACCCUGGAAAAAAUCAUGGGCAAGCUUACGGCACGAAACUCCGCCGCCAUGAGGCGGAACCUUGGCGGAACCAAUCUAGAGCUCCGGCAGAGCUGUUCUGCCGGGGAAACUUCCCUUCGAGAGGGGGAAAUCAUCACCAUCGUCAUCACCAAUGACCCUCCCACCGGGAAAGGGUUAAUCUCCAUCAACAUCUUCACCAGCACCAUCUCUUCUCAAAACCCUAGUUCAUCUCUUGUAUCCAAUCUUGUAUCCAAACCACAAAUUGGUACCUCUGGGUUGCUAGUAGUGUUAAUUACUCCUUGUAGUUGAUGCUAAUUGGUUUACUUGGUGGAAGAUCAUAUGUUCAGAUCCUUAAUGCAUAUUAUUAUCCCUCUGAUUAUGAACAUGAAUAUGCUUUGUGAGUAGUUACGUUUGUUCCUGAGGACAUGGGUGAAGUCUUUCUAUUAGUAGUCAUGUGAAUUGGUAUUCGUUCGAUAUUUUGAUGAGAUGUAUGUUGCCUUUCCUCUACUGGUGUUAUGUGAACGUCUACUACAUGAAACUUCACCAUUAUUUGGGCCUAGAGGAAGGCAUUGGGAAGUAAUAAGUAGAUGAUGGGUUUCUAGAGUGACAGAAGCUUAAACCCUAGUUUAUGUGUUGCUUCAUAAGAGGCUGAUUUGGACCCAUAUGUUUAAUGUUAUGGUUAGGUUUACCUUAGUACUUCUUUUGUAGUUGUGAAUGCUUGCAAUGGGGGUUAAUCAUAAGUGGUAUGCUUGUCCAAGUAAGGGCAGUACCCAAGCACCGGUCCACCCACAUAUCAAAUUAUCAAAGUACCAAACGUGAAUCAUAUGAGUGUGAUGAAAACUAGCUUGACGAUAAUUCCCAUGUGUCCUCGGGAACUCCUUUUUCAUUAUAAGAAAUUGUCCAGGCUUAUCCUUUGCUACAAAAAGGAUUGGGCCACCUUGCUGCACUUUAUUUACUUUUAUUGCUUGUUACUCAUUACAAUUUAUCUUAUCACAAAACUAUCUAUUACCUACAAUUUCAGUGCUUGCAGAGAAAACCUUACUGAAAACUGCUUAUCAUUUCCUUCUGCUCCUCGUUGGGUUUGACACUCUUACUUAUCGAAAGGACUACGAUAGAUCCCCUACACUUGUGGGUCAUUAGGACCCGUUGGGGGCCUGUGGUUCGCCGGGUUCCCCUAGGUGCGGGCCCCGCAUGCCUAGGGGGACUGUGCGCCGUCUUGUCGAUCGUCAGGGUGAGGCUGAGUCGAGUCAUGUACAGUGGUGCUCCGUCAGGUCGCGGCUUGCUGUCGUCAGCGGUGAGGGCGGGGGGACUAUAGCCACGCUAGCCCUAGUCAGCGGGCAGGUGAGGGGCACUGUUGCCACGUUCCGGCUGACCAUAGCCAUGGGCGGGACACUGCUGCCUUGGUCAUUGGUGAUUGAAGACUUGUCCCGUCGUAUGACCUGGAUAGGACAGGAGCUGACCCGUGGCUGGAUUGCGGAGCACUCCACGGGUGGAGCUGGCUUGUUAAGGAAGCUUUGGUAGCGCUGGGUUCGACUGUCUUGUGCCAUUUGUUGAGGCCAAGUCUACGUGUCUUGCCGGGUCCGAGAGCUUGGCCGGGUUGCGGGGCUUAGCCAGGUCGAGCGACCCGGCCAGGCGCAUGCUAACUUGAGGGGCGAUGCUAGCCCCGUUGUUUUUGAAAAGGAUCCAGGUUUCGUUGCCUGCCCAGGGUUCAUCCCCCUUACAAGAGAAGUUUUGUUAGUGAGCACAUACUCAUAAUGUCUGGGCACCAUAAUCACUUGACUCAGCUAGGAGUUAAUCUUCCAGAUGAUUGUGUCAUUGACAGAGUUCUUCAAUCAGUGCCACCAAGCUACAAAGGCUUUGUGAUGAACUACAAUAUGCAAGGGAUGGAAAAGACUAUUCCCGAGCUCUUCGCGAUGCUAAAGGCCGCAGAGGUAGAAAUCAAGAAGGAGCAUCAAGUGUUGAUGGUUAACAAGACCACUAGUUUCAAGAAGAAGGGCAAGGGUAAAAAGAAGGGGAACUUCAAGAAGAAUGACAAGCAAAUUGUCACUCCCGGGAACAAACCCAAAGCUGGACCCCAGCAUGAAUCUGAGUGCUUCUACUGCAAAGGGACUGUUCACUGGAAGCAAAACUGCCCCAAGUAUUUGGCGGAUAAGAAGGAUGGCAAAGUGAACAAAGGUAUAUUUGAUAUACAUGUUAUUGAUGUGUACCUUACUAAUUCUUGUUGUAGUGCCUGGGUAUUUGAUACCGGUGUGGUUGCUCAUAUUUUUAACUCGAAGCGGGGACUACGGAUUAAACAAAGAUUGGCUAAGGACGAGGUGACGAUGCGCAUCGGAAAUCGUUCCAAGGUCGAUGUGAUCGCCGUCCGCAUGCUACCUCUACAUCUGCCUUCGGGAUUAGUUUUAGACCUGAAUAAUUGUUAUUUGGUGUCAGCGUUGAGCAUGAACAUUAUAUCUCGAUCUUGUUUAGUGCGAGACGGUUAUUCAUUUAAAUCUAAGAAUAAUGGUUGUUCUAUUUAUAUGAGUAAUAUCUUUUAUGCUCAUGCACCCUUGAAGAAUGGUCUAUUUCUGUUCGAUCUUGAUCGUGAUGAUACACAUAUUCAUAAAAUUGAUGCCAAAAGAUGCAAAGUUUAUAAUGAUAGUGCAACUUAUUUGUGGCACUGCCGUUUGGGUCAUACCAGUGUAAAGCACAUGAAGAAACUCCAUAAAGAUGGACUUUUGGAAUCACUUGAUUUUGAUUAUGAAUCAUUUGAUACUUGCGAACCGUGCCUUAUGGGCAAGAUGACUAAAACUCCGUUCUAUGGAACAAUGGAACGAGCUAAUGACUUACUGGAAAUAAUGCAUACCGAUGUAUGCGGUCCAAUGAGUUUUAAUGCUCGUGGCGAGUAUCGUUAUUUUCUGACCUUCUUAGAUGAUUUGAGCAAAUAUGGGUAUAUAUACUUAAUAAAACACAAGUCUGAAACAUUUGAAAAGUUCAAAGAAUUUCAGACUGAAGUGGAGAAUCAUCAUAACAAGAAAAUAAAGUUUCUACGAUCUAAUCAUGGAGGAGAAUAUUUGAGUUACGAGUUUGGCCUUCAUUUAAAACAAUGUGGAAUAGUUUCACAACUCACACCACCUGGAACACCAUAGCGUAAUGGUGUGCCCGAACAUCGUAACCGCACUUUAUUGGAUAUGGUGCGAUCUAUGAUGUCUCUUACCUAUUUACCACUAUUGUUUUGGGGUUAUGCAUUAGAGACAGCUGCAUUCACAUUAAACAGGGCACCAUCAAAGUCUGUUGAGACGACACUGUAUGAACUGUGGUUUGGCAACAAACCUAAGCUGUGUUUCUAAAAGUUUGGGUAUGUAGUGCUUAUGUCAAAAGGCUUCAACCCGAUAAGCUCGAACCCAAAUUGGAGAAGUGCAUCUUCAUAGGAUACCCUAAGUAAGAUAUUGGGUACGCCUUCUACCACAAGUCCGACGACAAGAUCUUUGUUUCUAAGAACCAAACCUUUCUAGAGAAGGAGUUUCUCUCGAAAGAAGUGAGUGGAAGGAAAGUAGAACUUGAUGAGGUAAUUGUACCUGCUCCCAAUUUGGAAAAUAGCUCAUCCGAGAAAUCUGCUCCCGUGAUGCCUACACCAACUAGAGAGUAAGCUAAUGAUAAAGAUCAUGAAACUACAGAUCAAGUUGCUACGGAAGCUCGCAGGUCAAACAAAUCAUGAUCCACACCAGAGUGGUAUGGUAAUCCUGUUCUGGAGGUCAUGUUACUUGACUAUGAUGAACCUACUAACUAUGACGAAGCUAUGAUGAGCCCAGAUUCUGAUAAAUGGCUUGAGGCCAUGAAAUCUGAGAUAGGAUCCAUGUAUGAGAACAAAGUGUGGACUUUGGUGGGUAUGCCCGAUGAUCGGCGACCCAUAGAGAAUAAAUGGAUCUUCAAGAAGAAGACUAACGCUGAUGGUAAUGUUGCUGUCUACAAAGCUUGACUGGUUGCUAAAGGUUAUCGACAAGUUCAAGGAGUUGACUACGAUGAGACUUCCUCACCCGUAGCGAUGCUUAAGUCUGUCUGAAUCAUGUUAGUAAUUGCCGCAUUUUAUGAUUAUGAAAUAUGGCAAAUGGAUGUCAAAACUGCAUUUCUUAAUGAUUUCUUAAAGAAGAGUUGUAUAUGAUGCGACCAGAAGGUUUUGUCAAUCCUAAAGGUGCUAACAAAGUGUGCAAGCACUAGCAAGCCAUUUAUGGAUUGAUGCAAGCAACUCGGAGUUGGAAUAUACGCUUUGAUGAGGUCAUCAAAGUGUAUGGUUUUAUACAGACUUUUGGAGAAGCCUGUAUUUACAAGAAAAUGAGUGGGAGCUCUAUAGCAUUUCUAAUAUUAUAUGUGGAUGACAUAUUGUUGAUUGGAAAUGAUGUAGAAUUUCUAAAUAGCAUAAAAGGAUACUUGAAUAAGAGUUUUUCAAUGAAAGACCUCGGUGAAGUUGCUUAUAUAUUGGGCAUCAAGAUCUAUAGAGAUAGAUCAAGAUGCUUGAUAGGACUUUCAUAAAGCACAUACCUUGAUAAAGUUUUGAAGAAGUUCAAAAUGGAUUAGUCAAAGAAAGGGUUUUUGCCGGUGUUACAAGGUGUGGAGUUGAGUCAAACUCAAUGCCCGACCACUGUAGAAGAUAGAGAGAAAAUUGAAGUCAUUCCCUAUGCUUCAGCCAUAAGUCCUAUCUUGUAUGCUAUGUUGUGUACCAGACCUGAUGUGUUCCUUGCUAUAAGUUUAGCAGGGAGGUACCAAAGUAAUCCAGGAGCGGAUCACUGGACAACUGUGAAGAACAUCCUAAAGUACCUGAAAAGGACUAGGGAUAUGUUUCUCAUUUAUGGAGGUGAAAAACAGCUUGUCAUAAGUGGUUACAUCAAUGCUAGCUUUGACAAUGAUCCAGAUGACUCUAAGUCGCAAACCGGAUACGUAUUUUUAUUGAAUGGUGGAGCUGUCAGUUGAUGCAGUUCCAAGCCGAGCAUCGUGGCGGGAUCUACAUGUGAAGCAGAGUACAUAGCUGCUUCGGAAGUAGCGAAUGAAGGAGUCUCGAUGAAGGAGUUCGUAUCCGAUCUAGGUGUGAUACCUAGUGCAUCGGGUCCAAUGAAAAUCUUCUGUGACAAUACUGGAGCAAUUGCCUUGGCGAAGGAAUCCAGAUUUCACAGAAGACCAAACACAUCAAAAGACACUUCAUCUCCAUCCGAGAUUUGGUCAAGGAGGGAGACAUAGAAAUUUGCAAAAUACAUACGGAUCUGAAUGUGGCAGACCCAUUGACUAAGGCUCUUCCAUGAGCAAAAUUGGAUCAGGACCAAGACUCCAUGGGUAUUAGAUUCAUUACAAUGUAAUCUAGAUUAUUGACUCUAGUGCAAGUGGGAGACUGAAGGAAAUAUGCCAUAGAGGCAAUAAUAAAGUUGUUAUUUAAUAUUUCCUUAUUCAUGAUAAAUGUUUAUUAUUAAUGCUAGAAUUGUAUUAACCGGAAACUUGAUACAUGUGUGAAUACAUAGACAAAACAUUGUGUCCCUAGUAUGCCUCUACUAGACUAGCUCAUUGAUCAAAGAUGGUUAAGUUUCCUAGCCAUGGAUAUGAGUUGUCAUUUGAUAAACGGGAUCACAUCAUUAGUAGAAUAAUGUGAUGGACAAAACCCAUCUGUUAGCUUAGCAUAAUGAUCGUUCAGUUUUAUUGCUACUGCUUUCUUCAUGUCAAAUAUAUAUUCCUCUGACUAUGAGAUUAUGCAACUCCCGGACACCAUAGGAAUGCCUUGUGUGCUUUCUAAUGUCACAAUGUAACUAGGUGAUUAUAAAGAUGCUCUACAGGUAUCUCCAAAGGUGUUUGUUGGGUUGGCAUAGAUCGAGAUUAGGAUUUGUCACUCCGAGUAUUGGAGAGGUAUCUCUGGGCCCUCUCGGUAAUGCACAUCAUAUGAAGCCUUGCAAGCAAUGUGACUAAUGAGUUAGUUAUGGGAUGCUGCACUACGGAACGAAUAAAGAGACUUGCCGGUAACGAGAUUGAACUAGGUAUGAAAAUACCAAUGAUCGAAUCUCGUACAAGUAACAUACUGAUGACAAAGGGAAUAACGUAUGUUGACAUUGCGGUUCGACCGAUAAAUAUCUUCGUAGAAUAUGUGGGAACCAAUAUGAGCAUCCAGGUUCCUCUAUUGGUUAUUGACCAGAGAGGUCUCUCAGUCAUGUCUACAUAGUUCUCGAACCCGUAGGGUCCGCACGCUAAACAUUCGAUGACGAUAUGUAUUAUAUUACUUAUGCGUUUUGGUGACUGAAGGUUGUUAGGAGUCCCGAAUGAGAUCACGGACAUGACGAGGAGUCUCGAAAUGGUCGAGAGGUAAAGAUUGAUAUAUUGGAAGGUUACAUUCGGACACCGGAAUGGUUCUGGAGUGUUUCAGAUAUUUUUCGGAGUAGCGAGGGGUUACCGGAACCCCCCAGGGAAGUAAUGGGCCUCAUGGGCCCUAGGAGGAGAGGCAAGGCAGGUCGCAGGAGGUGCCCCCAUGGGAGUCUAAAUUGGAUAGGGAGAGGGGGUGCGGCCCCCCUUUCCUUCUCCCUCUCCCUUUCGCUCUACUUCCCUCUUUCCUCCUCCGUUGGAAAGGAAGGGGGGCCGACUAGGACUAGGAGUCCUAGUAGGACUCCCCCCACUUGGCGUGCCCCUAGGGACGGCCUCCUCUCCUCUCCUCCUUUAUAUACGGGGUAAGGGGGGCACCCCUAAGGACAUCAAUUGUUUCUUAGCCGUGUGUGGUGCCCCCUCCACUGUUUACUCCUCCGGUCAUAUUUGUCGUAGUGCUUAGGUGAAGCCUAGCGCGGAUCACAUCACCAACACCGUCACCACGCCGCCAUGCUGACAUAACUCUUCUACUCCUACGUACCUCUACUGGAUCAAGAGUUCAAGGGACGCCAUCGAGCUGAAUGUGUGCAGAACUCGGAGGUGUCGUACGUUAUGUACUUGAUCGGUUGAUCCGAGAAGAAGUUCGACUACAUCAACCGCGUUAAGUUAAUGCUUCCGCUUUCGAUCUACGAGGGUACGUGGACACACUCUCCCCUUCUCGUUGCUAUGCAUCUCCAAGAUAGAUCUCGUGUGAGCAUAGGAAUUUUUUGAAAUUGCAUGCUAUGUUCCCCAACAUGAGAUGCGUGAGGGGGUGCUGCACAUCCUCCAUGUUGAGGGACCAAAGAGGACCGGAAGCAUGGAGACAAAACUCGAAGCAAUGGAGCAACAAGUUUUCAAGUGCCAAGGGAUGGUGGAACGUGGACUCAAUGCCAAUCACAUGAUGAUCACCGAGUUCACCAACAAUCACAAGCUAGAUGCCAAGAACAUCGAGGAGGCCAUAUUCAAGCUUCACGAGAAAAGUGAGCGCCUCCAGGCCCAGAUCUAUGACCUGCAAAACCAAAACUGUGAGUAUGAAUAUAGAUUCAAGAGGAUGAGUUUGGCUGCAGAUUUGAGGAUUCUGACACUCGUUCAUCUUUCUAUGAUGGUGAGCCUAUGCCUUGGAAGAUGGACGACAAGCCUACAUAAUCAACAACUCCAUCAUCACCACCUCCGAAGAAAGAGACAUAAAUACAUGGGUAUGGGCACUCUCCUUGGCAAUUACCAAGCUUGGGGGAACCGUAUCGUAUCACCAUCACACUUCUAUCUUUAUCAUUUUUCUUAGUUCGAUCCUUUUGGUUAUAUCUUUAUCUAGUAGAAUAAAGUUUUAGUAUGAUCUAAAUUUGAGUUUUUCAUCUCUAUCUAUGUAAUCGAGUCCGUGAGUUAUAUAUGAUAAAGAGUAGUUUUGAGAUGAGGACUUUGCUAUCUUGCUAUGAUCUUGAGGGAAUUAAAGAAAGAAUAAAAAGAAAUAAAAGGAUCAUAUUUUGAUCUUAUGGAGAGUAAUGACUUCACAUACAAAGAGUAUGAUGAAUAAAAGUUGUUGAGAGUUGACGAACAUAGUUUUGGUCAUCGUUGUAAUUAAUAGGAAGUAAUAAAUAAAGAUAGGUUUUCACAUAUAAAUAUACUAUCUUGGACAUAUUUUGUGAUUGUGAGCACUCAUUAAAAUAUGACAUGCUAAAAAGUCGAUGUUGGACAAGGAAGACAACGUAAUGGGUUUUGUUUUCUUAUAUCCGACUAAGUUAUAUUGUCAUGGAUCCUCCAAUAUGUUGAGCUCGCCUUUCCCCCUCAUGCUAGCCAAAUUCUUUCCACCAAGUAGAGAUACUACUUGUGCUUCCAAACAUCCCUAAACCCAGUUUUGUCAUGACAGUCCACCAUACCUGCCUAUGCAUUGAGUAAGACCUUCAAGUAAGUUGUCAUCGGUGUAAGCAAUAAAAAUUGCUCUCUAAAUAUGCAUGAUCUAUUAGUGUGAAGAAAAUAAGCUUUAUAGGAGCUUGUGGUAUGGAAGAAAUAAAAGCGAUGGACUGCAUAAUAAAGGUCCUUAUCACAAGUGGCAAUAUAAAGUGACGUUCUUUUGCAUUAGGAUUUUGUGCAUCCAACCAUAAAGUGCAUGACAACCUCCGAUUCCCUCUACAAAGGGUCUAUCUUUAUUUUACCUUCUACCUUCCUGCAAGAGUCAUGGUGAUCUUCACCUUUCCCUUUUACACUUUUAUCCUUUGGCAAGCACUAUGUGUUGGAAAGAUCCGGAUAUAUAUAUAUAUAACUUGGAUGUAGGUUUUCAUAAAGUAUUAUUGUUGACAUUACCGUUGAGGUAAAAGGUUGGGAGGUGAAACUAUAAGCCCCUAUCAUUCUCUGUGUCCGAUUGAAACUUUGUACCCAUAAGUAUCGCGUGAGUGUUAGCAAUUGUGAAAUACUAAAUGAUAGUUGAGUAUGUGGACCUACUGAAAAGCUCUUAUAUUGAAUCUUUCCGAUGUUAAGAUAAUUGCAAUCGAUUCAAUGACUAAGAUCAUAGUUUGUUAGUUUUCAGUGAAGUUUUUGAUUCAUACUUUACUUUGUGAAUGGAUUGUUACUUUAGCAUAAGAAAUUAUAUGACAAUAUAUGUGUUGUUCUAAAUAUGAUCAUGAUGCCCUCAUGUCCGUAUUUUAUCGACACCUCUAUCUCUAAGCAUGUGGACAUAUUUUUUGAUGUAGGCUUUCGCUUGAGGACAAGCAAGGUCUAAGCUUGGGGCAGUUGAUACGUCCAUUUUGCAUCAUGCUUUUAUAUCAAUAUUUAUUGCAUUAUGGGCCGUUAUUACACAUUAUAUCAAAAUACUUAUGCCUUUUCUCUCUUAUUAUAUAAGGUUUACAUGAAGAAGGACAAUGCCGGCAGCUGGAAUUCUGGACUGGAAAAGGAGCAAAUAUUAGAGACUUAUUCUGCACAACUCUAGAAGUCCUGAAACUUCACAGAGAUCAGUUUUGGAAUAUAUAUAAAAUAUUGGGCGAAGAAAGCACCAAAGGGGGGCCACUAGUCAGCCAUGAGAGUGGAGGGCGUGCCCUACCCCCCUGGGCGGGCCCCCUACCUCGUGGCCCCCCUGGCAGGCCUUCGAGUCCCAACUUCGGCUAUAUGGUGUCUUUGCCCUGGAAAAAAUCAGAGAGAAGCUUUCGGGAUGAAGCGUCACCGUCUCGAGGCGGAACCUGAGCAGGACCAA